rnacentral:SRP_RNA from 1 species
UGGGUCUUGCGCAAUGGACAUCUGCGAACCGUGUCAGGGUGGGAACACAGCAGCACUAAGCGGAAUCGUACAUGUGCCGCAAGGGUGCCUG